rnacentral:lncRNA from 10 species
GCCGGGUGCGGUGGCUCGCGCCUGUAAUCCCAGCACUUUGGGAGGCUGAGGUGGGUGGGUCACUUGAGGCCAGGAGUUUGAGAUCAGCCUGGCCAACAUAGUGAAACCCUGUCUCUACUAAAAAUACAAAAAUUAGCCAGGUGUGGUGGCUCACGCCUGUAAUCCUAGCUACUCAGGGGGCUGAGGCAGGAGAAUCACUUGAACCCGGGGGUGGAGGUUGCAGUGAGCCGAGAUCAUGCCAUUGCACUCCAGCCUGGGCGACAGAGUGAGACCCCAUCU